rnacentral:tRNA from 1 species
GUUAUUUUGGCAGAAUAGUGCAUUUGAUUUAGAAUCAUUAUAUGUAAUUAAUAUUACAAAUAAUA